AGUUCUACGCUCUCGAGUGAUAAAGGGGCCUAGUGAAAUCGAUGGUGUUGCCGGAUACUCCGGUAAAAGCAGAGUUCGACGCACCCGAAAUGGAAAGGAGCCUGGUGACAUCGGUGG